GGGGCUUUCAUUGAGGCGGGCUGGACCUCUCGGGGUUACAGCCUUGCUGAAUUAUUCACCCUUGUCUUUUGCGUACUUCUUGUUUCCUUGGUGGGUUCGCCCACCACUAGGACAAACAUAAACCUUUUGUAAUUGCAAUCAGCGUCAGUAACAAAUUAAUAAUUACAACUUUCAACAACGGAUCUCUUGGUUCUGGCAUCGAUGAAGAACGCAGCGAAAUGCGAUAAGUAGUGUGAAUUGCAGAAUUCAGUGAAUCAUCGAAUCUUUGAACGCACAUUGCGCCCUUUGGUAUUCCAAAGGGCAUGCCUGUUCGAGCGUCAUUUGUACCCUCAAGCUUUGCUUGGUGUUGGGCGUCUUGUCUCUAGCUUUGCUGGAGACUCGCCUUAAAGUAAUUGGCAGCCGGCCUACUGGUUUCGGAGCGCAGCACAAGUCGCACUCUCUAUCAGCAAAGGUCUAGCAUCCAUUAAGCCUUUUUUUCAACUUUUGACCUCGGAUCAGGUAGGGAUACCCGCUGAACUUAAGCAUAUCAAUAAGCGGAGGAAA
rnacentral:rRNA from 1 species